UUUUUAAAAAAUUGUAGAGAUGGGUUCUCACCACGUUGCCUAGGCUGGUCUUGAACUCCUGGGCUUAAGCAAUCCUCCUGCCUUCUCAUUUCUCUGUGCCCGGGCUGAGUGUGGGAGUAGAAGAUUUUGUUUGCAGAAAGGUCACAUGGACUCAUUCUGAUUCUAAAAUUAAAUGAAAAGAAAAGAAAAGUAGCAAAUAAAAACAGAAAACAAAACGAUCACAUGGAUGUACCAUUUUGCCCCAAUGCAUGUUGCCUAAGAGAGACGAUGCCUUCCCAGUUCGCCAGAGCUAUGGCUCUUAGUAGGUGUCUAGGUCCAUUUCGUGUUGCUGUGAAGGAAUACCUGAGGCUGGGUAAUUUAUAAAGAAAAGUGGUUUAUUUGGCUCAUGGUUCUGCAGGCUGCACAAAUGCAUGGCACCAGCAUCUGCUUCUGGGGUGGGCUUCGGGAAGCUUCCACUCAUGGUGGAAAAGGAAAGGCAGCUGGCGUGUGUAGAGAUCACACAGUGAGAAAAGAAGCAAGAGAGAAAGGAGAGGACGUACUAGGCUGUUUUUAACAACAAGAUCAUCUGGGAACAAAUAGACCAGAGAACUCACCCAUUACCAAAAAGUCAUCAUCAAGCCACUCAUGAAUGAUCUGCCCCAUGACCCAAACACCUUUCACCAGGCCCACUACCGACACUGAGGGUCACAUUUCAACAUGAGAUCUGAAGGGGAGAAAUAUCCAAACUACGUCAGUAGGUAAAGGACACGAGAAGAGUGGUGCUCUAUCAGAAUCACUCAGGGAGCAUUUAUGAAAUAUGCCUGCUUUACCCUUUCUCCUUCAUCAUGCUCAGGGGAUAUUCACAAUACAUAUAAAAAAUUAAUCUUCCUCUUGAGGACUUUCCUUCUUUGCAAUCUUUCCCUGGAGCUGAGGAUAGCCAGACUCUAAAUGGAUAACAAAUAAUUUCUCUUGACAUGUGCUUUCCUUUGCAACGACGUAUGGGAAAUUGAAUUUCUCCCAGGAAGAAGUGGGGAUGGAUGAAACCAGGCUUCAACUCAAUGCAUCUGUGUAAUUGCUAAGAGAGAGCUGCUUCCACCAUUAGGUAUUAUAAGUGAUGUGUCUCAAAGGAGCCCAGGACAAGUAGCAAGGAGGUGCUUUGUAAGGAAAUAGGAGGAAACCCAAGCUGUUAUUGUCCUGAGAAUUCUUACACGUAUUGAGUUUGCCUUUUGGCCACUCUUUCUGAGGCGUAUGUAGAAAUUUGCCGGUAACCUGACUCUUAGCUCGGAUCCACUUUGCCCACACGGAGGUACCACGCAUUGCAGGUGGCUUUGUUUUAUUCCUUUGUCUCCAGCAAAACUGGCCAUCUAUUAACUUGGCUGUUCUGGUGCAUUUGUUCAAACAACUCCUCUUUAUCUCCCUCUGCAGGGUUCCCUUAGCAACAUGCUUUCUGACAUCAUUACCAAUCUUAUUUUGGGAACUGGGCUGUACGGAAGAUCCCUAGACACCCUACCGAUGUGUGGCAGAACUUUCUGGGAGUUAUCAUGUAACUAAUGAGCUUAAGAAUUCAUUCCAACCAAAGGCAAUGCUAGUUUGUUUCCCAGUUUAAACCUCUAAUCAUGGAGCCCUAGAGAGUUAGGUAUACGUGGGUUAUCACCAUCAUGGCGCCCAUGUGAUUAAGGAGUUUUGUUUUUUGUUUAACAGAUUUGGGGCUGCUCUGUCCAGACCUGCCCAUUGUAAAGCUACUGGGGCCACAUGAGGCUGUUUCUUGAGGAUGCACAGAAUCUUGUGUGUUCACCACCCUUUUUUAUGUAUACACAAGGAGAUUCCACUUAUAAAUCCUGUGUACUUGUAUUUAUUUCAGGUCAUAUUCCUUCCAGGACUUGGAGAGGGGAGAUGUGUUAAAUGAAGAAUUGUCAUCACUAAUAUGCUUUGAGUUGAUUGACCUUCAUGUCAUAGAAUAAAUGUUCAACUUUGCAUCACGUCAAUGUUUGCCUCCUUCCCACCUGGAGAGAACCUAGUAAGAAAGAACUUGAGUAGCAAUAGUAAACAAUAAAUAUUGGGUCAUCACAUAACCCAUGUUAGUCUCACCCAGAUGCAAAACAUAGCUAAAAACAGUAGAAAAUGGCAACAAACAGUCUUAGAAAAAUACAGACCCUCUAGUGACUGUUUUUGUUUGAUGGCUGACAUUGGUCUAAAGAAAUUUCAAGAGAGCUGAAGGGUGGCAUCCUGUUUUAUUUCUUCAAUCCUUGGAAGAGCUCCCUUGCAUUGAGAAUGCACACAUUUGCAUUUCAAAGCAAGUGGGGUUUGGGUAAACAGUCUUAGAAGUCAAAGCAACCAUCUCCUAGAAGCAAGCUGUAUAUCAGGUAGAGAAAGAAGAGAUGAAAAAGGGCCAUGACUAUGCCCAUUUCAGUCAUCUGCUUGGGAUCCUGCCACAUGGCAGAGUUUGGUGGACACAGCACUUCUCUGCUCCCUGGGACAUAAGCAGAAACAUCUUUGGCAUGACUGAAGCAUUCUACUCCCAAGAUGGCCCCAUGCAUUGGCCUGGCAGAGGAAUGCUGUCUGAAGGCCAGGAGCUCAGUAUGGCUAUUGACUGGCCUGGCCUCAAUUCUCCUCCACAGGGAUCGUUCAGGCUUCUUACAAUAUGGCUGUCUCAAGGUAGUUAGAGGGUGACUUACCCCAUGUCACAAAAGCAGAAGCUUUCAGUUCUUCUUAGACCUGGGGUGAGUGCAGCCACCCUCUGCCAUAUAGUGUUGGAUAAAGCAUAUCCCAGGGCUACUCUGGUUCAACAGAAAGGUAUACACAAGGGUGUAAAUGCCAGAGGUCAAGGUUUUUUGGGGGUUACCCAAGUGGAGUCAACCUUCAUUAUUUGCAGAUGCUCUCUUUGCAAAUUCAGCUACUUGCUCUAAUUUCUUUGUAACCCCAAAUUAAUACUCAUUGCACUUUCGUGAACAUUUAAAGCAAUAAAUAAUUUGAGUCACC
rnacentral:lncRNA from 10 species